rnacentral:misc_RNA from 1 species
AAGUCGUAACAAGGUCUCCGUAGGUGAACCUGCGGAGGGAUCAUUACACAAAUACGAAGGCGGGCUGGAACCUCUCGGGGUUACAGCCUUGCUGAAUUAUUCACCCUUGUCUUUUGCGUACUUCUUGUUUCCUUGGUGGGUUCGCCCACCACUAGGACAAACAUAAACCUUUUGUAAUUGCAAUCAGCGUCAGUAACAAAUUAAUAAUUACAACUUUCAACAACGGAUCUCUUGGUUCUG